rnacentral:rRNA from 1 species
UGCAAGUCGAACGGUGAACACGGAGCUUGCUCUGUGGGAUCAGUGGCGAACGGGUGAGUAACACGUGAGCAACCUGCCCCUGACUCUGGGAUAAGCGCUGGAAACGGCGUCUAAUACUGGAUAUGUGACGUGACCGCAUGGUCUGCGUCUGGAAAGAAUUUCGGUUGGGGAUGGGCUCGCGGCCUAUCAGCUUGUUGGUGAGGUAAUGGCUCACCAAGGCGUCGACGGGUAGCCGGCCUGAGAGGGUGACCGGCCACACUGGGACUGAGACACGGCCCAGACUCCUACGGGAGGCAGCAGUGGGGAAUAUUGCACAAUGGGCGCAAGCCUGAUGCAGCAACGCCGCGUGAGGGACGACGGCCUUCGGGUUGUAAACCUCUUUUAGCAGGGAAGAAGCGAAAGUGACGGUACCUGCAGAAAAAGCGCCGGCUAACUACGUGCCAGCAGCCGCGGUAAUACGUAGGGCGCAAGCGUUAUCCGGAAUUAUUGGGCGUAAAGAGCUCGUAGGCGGUUUGUCGCGUCUGCUGUGAAAUCCGGAGGCUCAACCUCCGGCCUGCAGUGGGUACGGGCAGACUAGAGUGCGGUAGGGGAGAUUGGAAUUCCUGGUGUAGCGGUGGAAUGCGCAGAUAUCAGGAGGAACACCGAUGGCGAAGGCAGAUCUCUGGGCCGUAACUGACGCUGAGGAGCGAAAGGGUGGGGAGCAAACAGGCUUAGAUACCCUGGUAGUCCACCCCGUAAACGUUGGGAACUAGUUGUGGGGUCCAUUCCACGGAUUCCGUGACGCAGCUAACGCAUUAAGUUCCCCGCCUGGGGAGUACGGCCGCAAGGCUAAAACUCAAAGGAAUUGACGGGGACCCGCACAAGCGGCGGAGCAUGCGGAUUAAUUCGAUGCAACGCGAAGAACCUUACCAAGGCUUGACAUAUACGAGAACGGGCCAGAAAUGGUCAACUCUUUGGACACUCGUAAACAGGUGGUGCAUGGUUGUCGUCAGCUCGUGUCGUGAGAUGUUGGGUUAAGUCCCGCAACGAGCGCAACCCUCGUUCUAUGUUGCCAGCACGUAAUGGUGGGAACUCAUGGGAUACUGCCGGGGUCAACUCGGAGGAAGGUGGGGAUGACGUCAAAUCAUCAUGCCCCUUAUGUCUUGGGCUUCACGCAUGCUACAAUGGCCGGUACAAAGGGCUGCAAUACCGCGAGGUGGAGCGAAUCCCAAAAAGCCGGUCCCAGUUCGGAUUGAGGUCUGCAACUCGACCUCAUGAAGUCGGAGUCGCUAGUAAUCGCAGAUCAGCA